UCUCCGUACGGGGAAGGAUGAGAAGCUUCGACUAAGGUUCGAUUCGAGCGCAGCGAGAAAGCGUUGCCGCAGGCAACGACCCGAAGGGUGAGAGCGGAGCGACGAAUAAUCCUUCCCCCACCACCA
rnacentral:sRNA from 2 species